AUGUGUCCAGACUUCUUGAUCAUGAUGUUGUCAUUGUGGCGGUCACAAAUGCCCAAAACGAAGGUAGCCACACAAUAGCCAGCACACGACAAAGUAAAGUUCUCUACAGCCUGUAAAAAUAGUCGUUAUUGCUACAGGGGAACUACAUGAUUGAACAGAAAUUUUCCACAUGCACUUGGAAAUUCGAAGACCGAUUCACUUGAAGCCAGUAUGCUUUAAUCACAAAGGUGGGAUAAGCAGAACUGGAACUGUACGUAUAUUUAGCUUUGCUCACCUGCUGAUAAGAGCUCUCUGUCGGGUUGUGCCUCAUCAGCCACUCCGAGAGAGGCUUGUCCUUGAAUGACCCUGUGACCCCGUGUUCAGUUUGAAUCUCCCUCAGUGUCGAUGCCUCUGUCACCAGUUCUAACAUGCCUGCAUGUGGGUACAUGUAUAUACAAGAAAGCUUAAUAAAAGCAUCAGCAUGCAAUACAAGCGAUAGAUCAUCCCAACACAUAAUUUUUAUAGUAAAGUAUACAAACCAAUUGUAGGCUUUGACACCUGCAUGUAUGUACACGUAGCUACAAAGUAACUGUAGCAACAGCUACACAUGUACACAGUGUAUGCAGCAAACUAAUGGCCGAUCAUUCACUCACCUUCGUCAACCCCGGUGGCAACACACUGGUAGGUGAUCAUCCUGAGGUCGAUGCCAGCCUUCAGCCAGAGCUUCUCCAUCAGUUUAAUCAUUUGUAGCACCAAAAUGUCCUGGCGUAGGUCGUCGCCCACCUGCAGGGGACAAAGUAUGAUGAGGUAUUGAGACUACACGCCCCAAUUAAAAUGCACAUAAAUAUGAUACGUACGUUUUUUGUACAGAUGCACAAAACUCCACCUUGUAUAUGAUCUCAAUGUCCUCUCCACAGGCAUCAGCAUUGAGGAAGGACAGUCUCAGAGGAACAGUGUUCGAGUUGAAGUAAGCACAGGUCUAAAACAAACAAGAUGUGAACAGACAAUAGUUAGUCUACAUGAACUAAUUCCCGCCUACAUGUACAACUCAUUCUACAGAGGGCAAACCCCACUCAUAUGCACUUAUACCUCAACGGAUAUCCCCCUGGCUACCAUGGCUGGGUUGAGUGGGAGGCUGAAGGGUCCCAUCAGUUUGUCUGCAACACUCUGUAGCCCAUGGAUUAAAACUGUUUGUCUGUGUGAAACUCGGGAGGACUUCACUGCUGUCGCUACUGAGCUUAGGUGACUCACUAGCUCAACCUGCAUCGGUAGCAUAAAGACAUUCAAUCAAUAAUAGGCACAGUGCAUGCAAAGAACUAAUGGGUGGAUGAACUGUGCACAUACAUGCAUGCACAGCUUACCUGUGUAUUGAGCUGUAGUAGGAGUUCAUUACCACACAAUAGCUCAAGGGCAGCCAGCAGCUGAGAGUACCUCUCUUGGAACCUGCAUUUUUAGGAUUUUCAUUACGCAACGCUCUCAAAACAUUUUUUUCAGAGAAAAUAAUUAUAUUCAAUGUACAAUCUCCACUUUUCCCCCUUCAUCUGUGAAAUACUUAGUGUUAACUCCCAUGGCACCCACCUGCUGUCAGAGACCAUAACAACUCGAAGGUGCCAGAAGAGGUAGUGUGCCACCCUCUGAGAAGACCUCACUCUUUUCAACAGUAGCUCUGUCAUAGCAGACACUUGGAACACAUCGCAGCGGAGUGACUGGGUGGGUAAGGGUUAGAGUUAGAAGAGUUAGAGUUAGGAGAGUUACCAGUUUAAAAAUAAGAAUUUGACUUUGAUACUAGUUUACAACUCAACUGACAAGGGUCCUCAUACUUAUACCCAUAUCAUUGGUUUUACAAGUCGAACCGUUGUCAUGCAGGAGCAUAAAAUAUGUGUUACUGCCGUUAUGUAUAUCGCAUCACUCAUGCAUUGAAACAGUGACAUUCUCACCUGCACCAACUGAGGUAGUAGGUCACAAAGGUCGUCGUUAUUUAGCUUUGUAAGCCACUCUACACCUUUGCUCCGUACGUACAUGUCGGGGUGUCUGCACAACGAAGAUACAUAUAUAAUUACUGCAUGUACUUUGCUUGAUCAAUGUGCUAGCUCACUGUGCAUCGAGUAACUCCAGACCAAACGUUGGCUCAGUGACACUUCCCCACUCCUUGAUCAUGGCCCAGAUGUCACCCAGCUCACCACGGCCAAAAGAGGGGGCGGAUAGGAUCACCGUGGAAAUGCCACGGGGACAUUUGCUCAGUAUACCAGAGCAGAACAUCCGGUUAGACCACACCAUGGCAAGUUCACUGGGUGUGUGACUGUGGAAGUGGAGUAUAGGAAUACACACCUCUGAAACCUGUUUCUCUCUCCGACGGUAACAAUGGUCCUCUUCACAUUAGGGGGAGGGGCAGGACGACUGGUUUUCAGUCUGCACAUGUAUAAAAGUACAAAGUUAAGCUUCAUGUACAUGUAUGCGGUUAGUUCAUAAAUGAUGUCCAGCAUAAUUAUAGGUGGACAGCAAAUGCUAAAUAUUAUAAGCACAUUGCCUAAGUGAAUAUGUAGCACAACUAGGACACAACUGACCUGUUGGGCAAAGUGACUGGGAACUGGUACCUCUUAUCAGGCUCUUCAAAUCCAACCUAUACAGUGUCACACAUGGAUGACAUAAUUACAUAAUUAUGAUGUACGUACAUGUAUAUUACUGUCAACUGUACAUGUACAUGUAAUAACAAAAAUUAUACCACACUUACGUCACCACAAAUUGAUCUCAUUGGUCAACAGCUGUAGGAUAUAUAUCUAUAUAAUUAUGCUAUAGAAUAUUAGCAUACAGCCCCAGGCAUGCACAGUUUUUCAAGCUGUUUUUUAGUGUUUUCAUUUGUAAGAAAGUAAGCAAAGAGAAAAGAGCCAUGCUUGAUGGUACUAAGACUCAAAGCGACGGCAGAAACACGGAAGGUGCUCUCCAACAAGAUGGCUAAGCUUCCAUGGGUCCAUGGGCGCGGUUUAGAUACAUUUAUCCAAGAAGAGCUUGAACUCCAGUAAGGGACGUCGAAUGGUCAACGCUUGGACCAAGGAAGCUCUUGAGCAUCUGUAGGAAUCAACAUGUUGCUCAACUAGCUUAUUGACGGCUGCAAAAUCCGGCAUAGUCUUGAUCUUUUUUGCAGUCUGCAUCGUGAUUGAAUUAUUGCUAGGGGGAGGUCCUUUUAUAGUGCUGCGGUCACGUGGUAUAAGUCAGAUAUGCCACACCUACUCGGAGGAUAUGCACCCUAUAUGCAUAUCCUCCUCUUAGGUGUGGUAUAUCCUAUACUCAUAUGGGAAGCUAGGUCCUAAAUCCCCACCCUCUGAAUUUAACGGUGGAGGAAUGUUAAUACAUACAUAUACAUGUAUGGUUGUCAGUCGUUGUGUUUGAUAACAUACCUGUAGAAUGAUGCUUUUACGAUUGUGGAGGUCAGAGUACAUGGAGUCUACAGGAUCAGGCUCCGCCUCCAUCCACAGCCCCACCACCUGAGACCCUCGCACCAGCACUCUGGGGCCACCUGUCAUGAUCGAACAAUCUGAGGGCAGCCCAGGCGACUGGUGACCUGAUGUGCUGGUGGUCUGAACCGAUCUCUAUCCCAUGUAGAAUGAACAAAACUCGGCUCUCAAGAGGAAUGCUAGAGAUUUCCACACCAAG